rnacentral:tRNA from 1 species
AGGAUAAUAGUUAAAUAAAUAACAUUUAAAUUGCAAUUAAAAAUUAUUGAAUAAUCAAUUUAUCUUA